UUUAUGCAGAGAGCGAGCUCGAGAACGGGAGAGAGAAAGAGGACAUGCCGGAAGUUACAUAUUACAUGUGACAAGAGUAAGAGAGAUGCAGCAGCAGGAAAGUGGGAGAGCGAUCGCUGCUGACAGGUUGCCCAAAAGGCAGAUGGGCAAAAACGAGACCAACUGCUACCAACAGCGAUUUAUUUUAGGGUUGACUGCUAUUGAAAGAGUAUGUGCCUGUGUGUGUACAUGUGUAUGGGCGGAUGACCUCGUUGCAUGGAAAAACGUGGAAUAUACCAGAAGAAGAACAACAAAUCGUAAGCGGGCGAGAGGGCAACAAGAAGCCACACCUACAACAACAAACAACAAAUCUAUUACAUCACGAGGAAAAUUGACACAAUCGCUAUACACAUUUGAAAAUACACAUGUACAUGCAUGCAUGUGUAUGUGUAUGUGAUACGGAAGGCAUCCAACAUGCAAAUUGAGCUGCCCUUUAUCUAUAUUAUAUGUACUCUUACUAAUACAAAUUAUAAUGAACGCCUAAAAUUGUUAGUCCUUAUAUGAUAUUCCCUAGAAAACGUAUUUAAAUUAAUAAGUGCGGUUAGUGAAGGAGGCUACCAGAAACUUCUUUCAAAGCAACAAAAAAUCAGUGAAAAGAGAGAGAGAGCGAACCACAAGCUACAAAACAGCAAAGCAACAAAUGAGAGAGGCACGCGGCGAAUUCAACAGCGGACGUCGGCGGCAGCGAGUCGACGACGACCAACGACCACAGUACCGUUCGUUGAAAUUUUCAAUGUAUGAAAACAUUCAGUCUGCCGCCAGCACGGCCCGAAGCGUUUUCGAAAAGCGCGGCAGAGGGCCCCAGAGUGGGGCUGUGCUGUGUGUCAGCGAAGAUGCGGUGCGGGGCUGGCGGAGAGCACGUUUACGGCGGGUAGCGUUGCCAGGCCAGAAAGUAGCAGCGUCUGCCUGAAAUGCAAAAUUAUUUGAGGAAUGCACACAUACACACAGACUCACGCGGCGAGAUACACUCUCGCACGAAUAAAAAUAGCCGUGAACGACAGAGUCAGAUCCCAGGCCCCCCACAUGACGUCAUCUGUGUCUCUCCCGUUGUGGUAAGGAUAAGAUGAAAUUAUCCACCCCGCCCCGCCCACAAAGAACAAUCAAAGUAUUGAAAAAUGCAGACAUUUUGGUUUUACAAUCCUUUUUUUUUUGUUGGUCAAUGUUUUAUUGUUUCACUCACACUUUUGGCAAUGCUGUAAAGUAAAUGCGCCCUGUUAACCAGCUGUUACUCUCUCUCUUGCUGGCUCUCUUUAUCUCUGCGGUGCUCUUGCGCUGUUCGCUUUGUGGCUAGCCAACGAAAGUGAGCGCCGACCACAAAGCUGCAAAAAUUAGGCGAAUAAAUGGCAGAAAAUCGAAAAAUAGAGUAUUUAUUGUUGUUUUUGGAACUAAAAUCGAUUUGAAUUUUGGUUUUGCGGCAUGGUCGGGGGGUGGGGAUGCAACCAAAACAUGUGAUUAUGAAAAAAUAAACAAGUUAUGAAAUAAACUACAAAAAUCGUCGGCGAAUUGGCUGAGCGAGAGCGCAAGAGGAAGUGAUGCAAAGAGAGAAAAGUUAAAUUUUAUUCACGACUCGAUUUUCUACAAGACUAUAUCUAGGGCUUUUAGGUGUUAAAAAAGACUAAAAUGAAACUCAAGAGAGGUAAAUAAUAAGAUAGAAAUUGAACAAAAAAUCACCUUUUUUUAGUAGGUCGCGUCGUAGUGUGCUUAUAUUUGUUGCAACGCUCUCUUUUUCAGCGGGGCAGUGCAGGGCGUGAGGGUGGCUCAAACUCUGCUAGUGCUAGUACUCUCCUUCUCCUGCGCUCUGCACAGCGGAGCUGUGCUGCCGUCUCGCUUGCGCUCCGCUGCCUUUGCUGCUGCUCUUGCUGCGACUGAUUCCGAGAAUUCGCCGUUACUUUUGCUUGUUCUUGUUUUCUUUUUUGUCACUUUGUCUGUUCUCCUUUAUCGUUAAAUGUGUUUGUGUGUAUAUGCAAAAUGUAUGAUUUCUUUCUAUUCUUGUUU